rnacentral:rRNA from 1 species
UUUNUGAAAGAAAGGGCCUUUCGGGUUGGUAAAGUAACUUUCAGCAGUGAGGAAGGUGGGUAUGUUUAAAAGCAUUUUUCAUUUGACGUUAGCUGCAGAAGAAGCCCCGGCUAAUUCCGUGCCAGCAGCCGCGGUAAUACGGAGGGUGCGAGCGUUAAUCGGAAUUACUGGGCGUAAAGCGCAUGCAGGUGGUUUGUUAAGUCAGAUGUGAAAGCCCGGGGCUCAACCUCGGAAUUGCAUUUGAAACUGGCAAACUAGAGUACUGUAGAGGGGGGUAGAAUUUCAGGUGUAGCGGUGAAAUGCGUAGAGAUCUGAAGGAAUACCGGUGGCGAAGGCGGCCCCCUGGACAGAUACUGACACUCAGGUGCGAAAGCGUGGGGAGCAAACAGGAUUAGAUACCCUGGUAGUCCACGCCGUAAACGAUGUCUACUUGGAGGUUGUGGCCUUGAGCCGUGGCUUUCGGAGCUAACGCGUUAAGUAGACCGCCUGGGGAGUACGGUCGCAAGAUUAAAACUCAAAUGAAUUGACGGGGGCCCGCACAAGCGGUGGAGCAUGUGGUUUAAUUCGAUGCAACGCGAAGAACCUUACCUACUCUUGACAUCUACAGAAGCCAGCGGAGACGCAGGUGUGCCUUCGGGAACUGUAAGACAGGUGCUGCAUGGCUGUCGUCAGCUCGUGUUGUGAAAUGUUGGGUUAAGUCCCGCAACGAGCGCAACCCUUAUCCUUGUUUGCCAGCACUUCGGGUGGGAACUCCAGGGAGACUGCCGGUGAUAAACCGGAGGAAGGUGGGGACGACGUCAAGUCAUCAUGGCCCUUACGAGUAGGGCUACACACGUGCUACAAUGGCGCAUACAGAGGGCGGCCAACUUGCGAAAGUGAGCGAAUCCCAAAAAGUGCGUCGUAGUCCGGAUUGGAGUCUGCAACUCGACUCCAUGAAGUCGGAAUCGCUAGUAAUCGUGGAUCAGAAUGCCACGGUGAAUACGUUCCCGGGCCUUGUACACACCGCCCGUCACACCAUGGGAGUGGGCUGCAAAAGAAGUGGGUAGUUUAACCUUCGGGAGGACGCUCACCACUUUGUGGUUCAUGACUGGGGUGAAGUCGUAACAAGGUAACCG